ACUGGAGGAUGAUGUCGUACAUGGUGGUGUUCAUGGGCCACACUGGAGGAUGCUGCUGUACAUGAUGGUGUUCAGGUCUACACUGGAGGAUGAUGUCAUACAUGGUGGUGUUCAGGGCCACACUGGAGGAUGCUCUCGUACAUGUUUGUGUUCAUGGGCCACACGUGGAGGACGCUGCUCCCCAGGGCUCCUUCCUGACCCUAACCUUCUACCACACAUUCCCCUGGUUUCAAAGAAAUAUAAGGUAAGGAUUUCCAAAGGACUCUCCCUUGGCCCCUGAGCUGUAAAUAGAACUGCUUUCUCAACAUCUUCACUUGGACUUGAGUAGACACAUCCAAACUUCUCAUCUUCAUCUCCCAGCCUUCUCUUCUUCCAGAUUCUCUGUCUUAGGGCCACCUCCUGGGCACAUAUCAAGUGAAAUGGAUCCUGGAGUGGAACAGAAAAUAACUGGCAAAAUAUACCUACCAUUCAUCUAGUUGCUCAUGCCAGAAACCUGGAAAACAGCUUUCACAGAUUCUCUCCCUACCAUCCAACAGGCAGCGACUCACCAGAUUCUCUUGGCUCUGUCUCCUAAAUGCUACACUUAUCUACCCACUUCCUGCCAUCCUCAUUGCCAGCACCCUCAUUCAAACCAUCCUCAUUUCCCUCCUGGUCUACGUAAAGGAAAAUAAAAUCUCAGGACCCUCAAACUCCUUAUGCCAAAGGGAAAGUUAAGCCUGGAAACUGAGUCGGCCACACAGCCGUCCUCUCCCCAGAUGAAUAGCUGUUACUUCAAAACCUGUGUCAAAACAUUAUGCAUUAGCCAGACCUCCACAGAAAGGCAAAAGGCCUCAGGCGUCUUGGGAUGACUGCCCCCACAAAAUCCCUUUAAGUAAAUUCUUUGCCAGCCUGUAAACUUUAAAACUGUCUAUCCUCCCAUAAAACAUGAACCUGUCAACUGUAGCUCUACGUCUGCCAUCUAAAUGUAGCUCAUACAGCUAAAGCCUGUUCACCUCUGCAGUGGUAAUGUGGAUUGCUAGUUUACCUCCACACAGGCAGAACAAAGGCACGAGGAGAUCAGUACUUCCUCCACCCACACAGGUGCAUCUGCACAAUUGAUUCUUCCUUUACUCUGUUUUCUUCAAACGUUCAGCGUAUGUAAAAUGCAGAUUUACUGGGCACUGAGUAAAGUUUCACAAGAACCAUUUGCCUCACUGCCUUCUCCCCGAUUUUUUAAGGGAAAUGUACAAAUAUUAAACAUCCUGAAAACAUCUGAAAAAAUAGCCAUAGAUGCAUCUGUGACUCACGUUUUUUCCUGGGCAUGCUCUCAAGCUGGCGCAACAAAUCUUCACUGAGACACCUGCCUCAGCCACUCAUUUUGGUUAACAACUACUACCUCCUCCUGCCUGGUACCCCUUCUUUAGGGGCCUGGUCGCCUCUGAAGGGAAUCCACAUUCUGCAUCUUGUUCUCCAAGGCUGUCC
rnacentral:lncRNA from 10 species